UACGUAGGGACCGAGCGUUGUCCGGAAUUAUUGGGCGUAAAGCGCGUGUAGGCGGUCCGGUAAGUCGGUUGUGAAAGUCCAGGGCUCAACCCUGGGAUGCCGAUCGAUACUGCCGGACUAGAGUCCGGAAGAGGCGAGUGGAAUUCCUGGUGUAGCGGUGAAAAUGCGCAGAUAUCAGGAAGAACACCCUGGCGAAGGCGGCUCUCUGGGGCCGGGUACUGACGUGAGGGAGCGAAAAGCGUGGGGGGAGCGAAAC
rnacentral:rRNA from 1 species